GAUUGCGAUUCAUACCAGCACUAAUGCACCGGAUCCCAUCAGAACUCCGCAGUUAGCGUGCUGGGCGAGAGUAGUACUAGGAUGGGUGACUCCAGGGAAGUCCUCGUGUUGCAUCCC
rnacentral:rRNA from 1 species